GUCUCCACUCCUUCAAAAAUAAAAAAAUCUUUGAAAACUUGUUUAGGAAAGCCUAUCCAUUUUAACGGUCAACAGCGUUUUCUUCCCGCACCACUUCCUCUCCUGCAAUUGUCAUCAAAACAAAACACUAAGCCCUCAGUGAAUACUAUCAUAGCAACCUACUUUUCUACCCUACCCUUACAUUUUGUGUCUCUUUACCCUCUCCCUCUAGCAUGUAAGCUCAUUGAGCAGGGCCUUCAGUCCCUCUGUUCCUGUCUGUCUAACUUGUCUGUUAGUUCACCCAUUGUACAG